rnacentral:rRNA from 1 species
ACGAGAAGCUUGCUUUUCUGAUGUUAGCGGCGGACGGGUGAGUAACACGUGGAUAACCUACCUAUAAGACUGGGAUAACUUCGGGAAACCGGAGCUAAUACCGGAUAAUAUUUUGAACCGCAUGGUUCAAAAGUGAAAGACGGUCUUGCUGUCACUUAUAGAUGGAUCCGCGCUGCAUUAGCUAGUUGGUAAGGUAACGGCUUACCAAGGCAACGAUGCAUAGCCGACCUGAGAGGGUGAUCGGCCACACUGGAACUGAGACACGGUCCAGACUCCUACGGGAGGCAGCAGUAGGGAAUCUUCCGCAAUGGGCGAAAGCCUGACGGAGCAACGCCGCGUGAGUGAUGAAGGUCUUCGGAUCGUAAAACUCUGUUAUUAGGGAAGAACAUAUGUGUAAGUAACUGUGCACAUCUUGACGGUACCUAAUCAGAAAGCCACGGCUAACUACGUGCCAGCAGCCGCGGUAAUACGUAGGUGGCAAGCGUUAUCCGGAAUUAUUGGGCGUAAAGCGCGCGUAGGCGGUUUUUUAAGUCUGAUGUGAAAGCCCACGGCUCAACCGUGGAGGGUCAUUGGAAACUGGAAAACUUGAGUGCAGAAGAGGAAAGUGGAAUUCCAUGUGUAGCGGUGAAAUGCGCAGAGAUAUGGAGGAACACCAGUGGCGAAGGCGACUUUCUGGUCUGUAACUGACGCUGAUGUGCGAAAGCGUGGGGAUCAAACAGGAUUAGAUACCCUGGUAGUCCACGCCGUAAACGAUGAGUGCUAAGUGUUAGGGGGUUUCCGCCCCUUAGUGCUGCAGCUAACGCAUUAAGCACUCCGCCUGGGGAGUACGACCGCAAGGUUGAAACUCAAAGGAAUUGACGGGGACCCGCACAAGCGGUGGAGCAUGUGGUUUAAUUCGAAGCAACGCGAAGAACCUUACCAAAUCUUGACAUCCUUUGACAACUCUAGAGAUAGAGCCUUCCCCUUCGGGGGACAAAGUGACAGGUGGUGCAUGGUUGUCGUCAGCUCGUGUCGUGAGAUGUUGGGUUAAGUCCCGCAACGAGCGCAACCCUUAAGCUUAGUUGCCAUCAUUAAGUUGGGCACUCUAAGUUGACUGCCGGUGACAAACCGGAGGAAGGUGGGGAUGACGUCAAAUCAUCAUGCCCCUUAUGAUUUGGGCUACACACGUGCUACAAUGGACAAUACAAAGGGCAGCGAAACCGCGAGGUCAAGCAAAUCCCAUAAAGUUGUUCUCAGUUCGGAUUGUAGUCUGCAACUCGACUACAUGAAGCUGGAAUCGCUAGUAAUCGUAGAUCAGCAUGCUACGGUGAAUACGUUCCCGGGUCUUGUACACACCGCCCGUCACACCACGAGAGUUUGUAACACCCGAAGCCGGUGGAGUAACCUUUUAGGAGCUAGCCGUCGAAGGUGGGACAAAUGAUUGGGGUGAAGUCGUAACAAGGUAGCCGUAUCGGAAGGUGCGGCUGGAUCACCUCCUUU